UGGGACGAUACUCUACUCACUACUUUAUUACUUGUUCACAAUCCGUGCACUUGCAAGCUUGAAAAACCAACAAACACUCAAUCAUAGGCUAUCCUGAUGGAGUUUAUUAAAUUCCUCUACCACAUCCAAAAUUCCCAUUUCCCCAAAUCUCUUACACAACUCUUCAGAAAAUUCCUCCUAAGAGGCUGCAGGCUUCUGAAUUUGCCACCUUUGAAACCAAUUGUCAGCCUUUUCCCUAAAAAACAAAGUGGCUACUUUUAUUUUUUGUUCUUCAGGUACACUAUAAACUUGAAAAUAAUGCUGACAUUUCCUGACCCAAGAUAUCGGGUUCUCGCCAUCAAAUUGGGAUAAUUCAAUCUUCAAUUUCAUCGAACCAUUCUAACUGCUACUACCAGCGGAAUUUCCCCCCCUUGAUUCCCCCACUUCUUUACCCUUAGGUAAAGGUAAGAUACCCCUCGCCUCGUUAGCUAAAGAAUUGGACUCACGUGCCAAAUUAAUAACAAGAGCAGAAUCUUUAACUUUUUACUGUGAAGCCCUAAAGAUCUCUAAUAGUUGAUCCAUCUUUUAAGAUAGCUCUACUUGGUCCCGAUCCAUCUUUUGCACCAACUCACUCCUUAGUUCCCCUCUUUCAUUCCGAUUUCUCAAUCUUGAAGCGUGCAACUCCUGGCUCAAAUCUUGCAACUUCUAUUCCAAGGAUUGCAUGUGCUCCUCCAAACCCUACGAGGCCAUGGCUUGCUUCUUUUUUGCUAAUUUUAACUCUGCUAAAGUCUGGUCCUCCGAAUUUACAGGCUCUAAUAUGAAGUUGUUAGGUCUUCUAAACAUAGACCCAAUUCUCAAUCUCAAAGUAGGAAAUAGAAGAAAAGUGCAGAAGAAUUAGAAAGAGAAUAGAAGAAGAAGAAGAGAAGAAUCAGAGACAGAGGAAGAAGAGUUUUCGAGAGAGAAAAGAAGAGA
rnacentral:misc_RNA from 1 species